UACGUAGGGUGCGAGCGUUGUCCGGAAUUAUUGGGCGUAAAGGGCUCGUAGGCGGUUUGUCGCGUCGGGAGUGAAAACUCAGGGCUUAACCCUGAGCCUGCUCCCGAUACGGGCAGACUAGAGGUAUGCAGGGGAGAACGGAAUUCCUGGUGUAGCGGUGAAAUGCGCAGAUAUCAGGAGGAACACCGGUGGCGAAGGCGGGUCUCUGGGCAGUAACUGACGCUGAGGAGCGAAAGCGUGGGGAGCAAACAGG
rnacentral:rRNA from 1 species